rnacentral:rRNA from 1 species
UACGGGGGGAGCAAGCGUUGUCCGGAAUCACUGGGCGUAAAGGGCGCGUAGGCGGUCUGCUAAGUGUGUGGUGAAAGCUCGGGGCUCAACCCUGAGUCUGCCAUGCGAACUGGUGGACUGGAGCACUGUAGAGGCAGGUGGAAUUCCGGGUGUAGCGGUGGAAUGCGUAGAGAUCCGGAAGAACACCGGUGGCGAAGGCGGCCUGCUGGGCAGUUGCUGACGCUGAGGCGCGACAGCGUGGGGAGCAAACAGG